AACGUGGAAUGAGAGUAGGCAGGACUGCCUGGGCAGGGGAGCGGACCUGGUGACCAUCAAGAGCCAGGCGGUGGAGGUAUUUCUCAACGGGUUACACACCGCGGGCAGUUCAUCCUGGAUCGGUCUAAGUUACUCGGUGACCGAGAGGACGUGGAAAUGGGUCGACAACACAACGCUGACCAACACCACGUUUUGGGCGAGAACGCCUUCUGGUACGUCUAAUGGCUGUGUGGCUUUGGGUUCCAACUCAGGCCAAGGACAAUGGUGGAACUC